ACUGCUGAAUUGGCCGGCUUGCAUUUAAUUUACCCAAAAAGUGAACCCAACAAAUCGGGCCAACUCCAAAACUGGUUUGAACCCAGAAACUUAACCUGCCUUCUCCCCCAAAUUGAUAUUAUUCAUGAUUCCCCUAGAACCCCAAAUCACACCCUCCGCUUUCUUUCAUCCCGAACCUGAAGAUCAAAUCUGGCAGCCUGUGAUUGUCCCCGCUGGCAAACUAACUGCCGUGCACCGUCAGUCUUAGCUUGAAGACGAAAGCCCACCGAAACCCAACAUCGAAAUCCUAAUUGAAGACGAAAGUCGAAACGUAGAUGAUGGACAAAGCAGCAAAAAUUUGCAGAAUCCCAGAAUUUUCAAAAAAUCCAGCUUUCGCUGUACACACAUGUAUACACAAUUGCAUACAUAAAUUGUAUAUGUAGAGCUGUAGAAAGAGUGAAUCCUAUAUAGAGAGAUGGAGCACAAGGGGCACAACGAACCAGAGGACGGUGUGUACGGCGGUGAAGUACCUGAUGAAGCAUACAUGGAUGCCAAUUUUGAUGCGGAAGCAGAGGCCAAAGCUGAUGAAAACAUGAAAGCUAAGGAAUUGGAGAGUAUGAAGAAGAGGUUGCAGGAGAUUGAGGAAGAAGCAGGGGCACUUCGAGGAAUGCAGACCAAAGUGGAGAAAGAGAUGGGUGCUACUCAAGCAUGUUAGAAGAUUUAACUGAUGCCUCUGCGACUCAAGCAGAAAAGGAGGUGGAUUCCCGUCUAAUAUAUGUUGGUAAUGCGAGUUUCACAAUGCCCUUCUUAAUUUCUGUUAAUAUUAUUCCCUUUUAUAGCAUGCAAACAUUGUGCUGUGCAAUUUAGAGUGCUUUAGUUUCGAGAAUAAGCAUGCUUGUUAUCAACUCUUUGUUAACUAGACAGUCUCAAUGUUUUAAGAUCAAGCACAAUAAAUAGUUCUCUAAUUCUAUUGAUUUGGAAAUGGGAUACCUCUUAUCGAGUUGUUUACUGUGGCUUCCUUUAUCUAUGAAUUGAUCUUUUCUCAGCUUGUCUUCAUUCAGAGAUAUACCAGAACUUUCUAAAAUCCUACUAUGGAAACAAUUAUAUUCUAGUGAUGAACUACAAAUUGCUAGUAGUCAACUUUAAAUAUAUAUUUUUAACAAACAUAAGCUUAUUUUUAAUGACGUGAAAGCUACCUCUAAAAAUAUAAUGCCAUGCUCCUUAUACUAAUCAUAACAGAUAAAAUCAUCCAGCCUAUCAGUGAGUUCAAAUUCAAAAGAAUCAACAUCCUGGUAUCCAUAUCGUACAGUGCACCUAUAUGAGCGAUGAGCUACUGGCCCACAUGUCCCACGAGGUACCUCUCGGCUGGAGGGACAAAUGGUACUGGUACAGAUUUUAUACAUACAAAAACGAGACGGUGGAAAGCAGAGAGAUUGGUGACAAAACGAGAAAAGUUGGUAGGAAUACUGGAGGUCAAAUGAGUGAACACAAUGCCAAUGCCAGGGACCUGAGCGGUACCUAGGCUGGGACAGAGACAUAAAAAUCAAUGUCAUGAAUUGUGUGGUGAUAUUUUGAUAAGUAAGCUGCUUGACCCAUAUAUGCCAAUCAACCAAUAUGAGUACUGGAUAAACCAAAAAGGUGAAAGCCAUCUGCAACAAAAGAAAAAGACUAAACAAUCACCUUCAAAGUAACACCUCGAACUACAAGGAAAAGCAAAAUAAUAACGAACUUCUAAACCGAGUAGAACACCUGAUAAAGUUAGUCCUAGCAAAGAGGUGAAAAAAAUUUCUGUGCUGCAGUAUUGCUAAAAGUCACAAAAGAGAUGAAAUGGUUUGCAAAUGUAUACCUGAAUUGCAGCAUACGAGAAGUGUCUAAGAUCAGCAAACAUUGCUUCUGAGCCUGAGGGUAAAGUGAUAGAGAAUAUUGUCAUUCUAGUGUGGUGGACUAAUAUUCGCCUAUCAUUAAUACAAGAUCUUUUCAAAUUAUAACACAAAGAUUACGUUGACCACUAUUCGACCAUAUCAAAAGCAUAUCCAGCACCUGUUUGAUGGUCAUUAUUUAAAAACUCUUUUUUUCAACACGCUUAUUUCAACUACACAUUCAUAUAAUAAAAUAGUUUGCAUGUAAACCUAAGACUUUUCCCUAUUUUUUAAUCCUAAAAAUCACUAUUCAAAACAUUGUUUUUUCCUAAUAAUGGUCGGGGCUUAAUAACAGGUUCGAUGAGCAUUAAGUUAUAAAUUUGCCUCUUCUUGUCAAGAUUUUUCCUUUUCAUUUAUGCCUAGCAGUGUGCUGGAUUUGUUAAGACUUAAAACUCAGGAAGGUCAAUAAUGUGCUACAUGUUGUCUUUCACUUUCUUGGAUGUAUAAUUAAAAAUGCAUGCAUGACAUUUUUUAAGGGGUUCACCUGUAAUGCACAAAAGAAUUCCACCCAGUGUUAUCCAUCCUCCUUUUCUUGUCUUCUUCAAGAACUUUAGCAUUUAAUAUGGGGGAACCUCUUGAUAAACAAGUGGAUUCCAGAGUAUAAUAUUGUACAAACCAAGAGCACUGAUGCAUUGUACUAUUUUCGGGCUAAUGGGCUUUGCUUUAAUGGUAUUUUAAUUAUUUUUUUUAAUUUCUCUGGUUAAACGAUUUUCUCAUUUUUUUAAUUCCUUUUAAAUUGAAUUUUAAAUUAAUUUGUAUGCCCUGCAGUUAAUGCUCAAGAAUAUUGCAAUUUGAUUUAAAACGUUUAUAAUAUAUUUAAGCGUAUAUAGAGAUUUUUUUGUGUAACCUACUGCGGAUGGAUUGCAUAAUUUUUCCCUUUAUCCAAGAGAAAAAAAUUCUCCCAAAUACCAAAUGCAUAAUUCGUAGCUAGUUCUGAUUUUGUAGAAAAUUGAAAUUUAGACCUAUGUUGAAAUUGUUAUUGUUGUGGAUUAUUGAAAUUUUGGUUUAGGGAAAAAUUGAAAGGUGACCAAGAACACAGGAUUUCAAUUGGGGACAAUAGGGGCUUUGACUCUGUCAAUCGUUUCGUCGGUUUCUAUUGUGAUAUGCAGUAAAACACUCAAGAGCACUCUACUUUCAUUUUCGGUGAAUUUUAGUACUCUACAUUUGGUGUUUUUUUUCCUUGUUUUAUAAAUGAUAUUUUUGUACUAUUAUGAAUUGAAUGUUCUUGUAAUUUCUCUGUAUAUAUUGCCUCGAUCAGAUACAUUUAAUGUUGAAAUUUCAUGUGUCAUUACAUUACUUACAUCCCUUGGCGCAAAUUCUUUCUAAAGUGAUGGAAUUGAUAUAAUUUACUCUAGUUGAGGACCUUUAAUAAUAUUGUUAUUUUAGAAGAGGAGAUUCUUGUCAAUUUUUGAAUUGGAUUGCUAUUGAACUUGAAGUGAGGCAGCUACACAAGUCCUAACUGAUUGCCUUUGUUACUAAAAGUAUUCCUUCAACUGAGAAUGCUUGGUUGGACACGUCAAACAUGCUAUAAAUAGUAAGAAUAUAACUUUCGUUUGAUCCAGCUUUUAAUUUCCAAUAGAGUAGUUUAUAUUUUUCUCUUAACAUCAUAAUUUGAUGUAAUUAGAUCUAGAAAGGAAGAAGUCUAGCUUCUAAUUCCGGAUAGAGAAGUUUAUAUUUUUCUUAACCUCGUAAUUUGAUGUUGUAAUUAGAUUUAGAAGGGAAAAAGUCUCUAAUUGUGAUGUUGAUUUGUUUUAUUGAAGUUUUCUUUUGGGAAACAGUGAAAUGUUAUUAAAAAACGAUAAAGAUUAAGAAGAAGAUGAUAUUUAUUUAGUAUUUUUGUUAUAUGAGCUGGCAUUUACUGGUAACUUUGUUCGCUUUAUGUGGCAUUAUGGUUGAAAUUCUUCAAGCACAAACCAAUAGGAUACAAACUGUCAUUGGAUUUGGUGCUCUAAAUGGGAUUUCGAUUGGAUUAUAGAAACUCAGCUUGGGAUUCGAUUCUGUUGGUUUCUAUCAGAUGACAAAGCUGGCAAUCAACCCAUGUACAGUACUGUUGGAAACUCUUUUCCUAAGCAAGAAUUUCAGACUUGGAUUAUCACACAGGAGGCAACCCAAUAAGUUUCAGCAGUAGCUUCAGGUUCCUAACAUUUUGGUAUCAGAGCAAACCAACGUCAUAGGUUCGAAUCCCGAAAAGGGUGACCCAAGUGAAGUGUCGAAUGCCAGCAGUCAAAGAAGGGUCGGUCGGGUAAAACGAAGUCGUCUUGGAGUGGGUCAUUGUGGACGUCAGAUUUGGGGCCGUUGGCUAUUGUUAGGGUUUAAUAGUUGUGAGAUUCGAUCAUCCUCAAGCCUGCAUUUUUGGGAGAGAUGGUUGGGUCCCCAUCAAAGCCACUUAAGACCAAGCGAGAGCCGGUUAUAACUCUAAACUGAGUAGAUAACAUUCUCAAUAUGGUCUCACAUAUCUUGACAUCCUUUUUUGUUUGCAUUUUCUACUUUAAAGAAAUCACAUAGUCGCAAGAUUUCAUGUUCUUUAUUUCUCAUCAUUUUGUAAUUUUGUACAAGCUAAUUACUGAAGAGGGAAUGAUGUGGCCUGUUGUUUUUGUUGUUGCAUAAGUUAAUGCAUUAUGAGUAAGAAUUUAUGAAAAGUCUAAUUUAGGAAAUAUGUUUUAUCUUGCAUUAAAAUCACUGGUUUUGAUUGUUGAACUUAA